UCGACGGAUUUAAUCUCUCGUAACUAAAACACUUACACGCGCCCAGUCGAACUUACGUCAAAAGAGGUUAGCACGAAAGGAUGAAAAACCCUUUGUGACGUCACUACAUAUCAUUAAAGUGGUUUUUCAUGUCUCAAAUCGAGUUUACAUGAAUUCUACUGACGCUAGUUGUCGCUAGUUGUCGUUGAUAUCAAACGCUUGUUUAAUAUCGGUCUUAAAAUUGGUUAUAUAUUCGAACCGCGAAAAGUAGAUGUUUACGUCGGUUGAGUACGUCAGAAGUUUAAAUGUAGGUAUGCCUGGUAAAACGGUUUUUCUUGAGCGAUGUGUGAUAACGAUGAUGUGAGAAUUGCAGUGUUCCAUUUUUUAAAAGACUGACAAGAGUAGUUUGUAAAUUGCAGUAAUCCACAGUAUUACACUCUGAAAAAUGAAUGAUAUGCAAGUAAAACUUGAUACAUGGUUAAAAUUAAUACAAUCAGAAAAAUUGGAUGAAAAUCUAUUGGAAGAUAUUCAGACAAACAUUCAGUGGUGGUCAGGCAAUUUAUUGAACAAGGUUGUCUUCAAAUUACUGGUGCAUUUAUGUCGCACAGCAGAAAAAUGUGACACACAGAACUAUGAGACUGGAGAGAGAAUUGCUGAGUUAACUAAGCUGCUGUGUUCAUUAUUGGUUGAAGUACCUGAUGGCAACAAUGACAACUUUGUCAAAAUCUUGUUUAAAAUUGCACGCUAUUUGAUCUCUCUGAAUAUGUAUGAGGAUGCAGCAGAAAUAUGUUGUUACUUACAGCCUGGUAAUUUGUAUAAUCCUGAAAAUGGCACUGUGGAACUCUUGAACAAAGUAAUAUCCUUAUGGAGUGUCUUAAUUAACAAUACAUUUGUCGCUUUUACUGCUGAAUUUUUAAACACAGAACAUUACAACCAUCUAAAAAUUCUCAUAAGACAUGAAAUAAAAAUAACUAAAAUAAUUACAUAUGAAAAUUAUACAAAGGAUCUGAUUGUGAAGAUAAGCACAUACUUAGAUAGAAUAGCUUCAAUUGACAAGAAAACGAAGAAAUAUAAUGAUUUUUGCAAUUAUAUACUGGAAUAUUUAACAGAAGUGCCGUUACGCUUGGAUAAAGAUGAAAAAUAUGUAAUAUAUUACCACAUACUUCGCAUCAUGUGUCAUAUAAUACAUAUGACUGUUAAUAUAACUGAUGUCGGCUGUACUGUAAAAACUUUUGAUAAAUUAUUUAGUCAUUUCAAUAUUCUCUUAGCGAGAGACAAAGAAUGUCACUUAUGCUUUCAACAAUUUCGAAGCUUAUGUACAACAUUGUUAAUACCAAUUAAGAAUUUUGUAAGUGAUAGUGCCAAAAGUAUACAAAAUGUUAUAUGCUGUAAUUUGAAUAUUGCUCAAAAAUAUGGAUAUACAGGAGGCCUUAAGCAAAAUGCACUCAUUAUCGAUGAAAUAGUUGAACCCAUGUUUACAUACUGGGAGAAGUGCAUAGAAGCUGAUACAUCUAUGCUCAAGCAUUUGGUUAAUACUGACAUUUUGCAAGAGAUAACAAAUUUAUUUAUAAAUAUAAAUAAAAAUGAGUUUUAUUGUACGCAAGUGUCAAAGGAAUGCAAGUGGUGUCCAGGGAAAGCAUGUACAAUUAAGAAGGAUUUAUACAAUGUUAUAAUUAUAAAAAGUAAACUUCUUAGUUUAUUAUGUAAGUCAUACAUUAAAACCAUGUCAGAAAAAAUGCAAAUUCUUGACUAUGCUGCAGAAAUCUUGGAGCACAAUGUAAAAUCAGUCACCAAUGAAAUGAGAGGGAGCAAAUGUAAACGUUGGAUACAAUUGUGGAAUAUCUGUUAUUCUUUAGUUUAUAAUAUGGGGAUAUUAUCCGUCCAUGUUUAUAAGAAAAGCGUACAUUUGUUCUCGUUGUUGUUCACUUGCAUUUUUCAAACAAACUUUAAGUGCCUGGAAAGUUCUAAAGAUCUGAUAAACUCUGUUUCUCUUGCGCUAAACCAAUUAAGUGUUGUACAUUACAAUAACAGUAUGUAUAGAGAAGCCAUGACUGUAUGCGCAUUAUAUGCCUUGUUAACUUACAAUCAACCCGAUACAAAAGCUUUCUAUAUGUGGACAAAAAUUAAGCAACAUGUUUCUAAGGAAGAUGCAAAAUUAACUAUCUUGGAAUGCUUGAGGAACGAUAAAGAUGAGAUAAAGAAUAAAAUGGGCUUUGAAGUUGACACUUCUAAGUGUGAUCUGAUUAAAUUGUAUUCACGGGAAGCAAAAAGUUUACUGGAGGCGAAGAUUGCAUUUACAACCGGUGUAUCAUCAGUUUUGAAAGAACUUAAAAAAUUAAAGCCAAGUAAUUACAAAUAUGCACAUGUGAUACAAUUAUUAGGAUAUUACAUAUUAGAUUUUGAACAUGACAGUUCUAUUUUGGAGUAUCAUGAAGAAGCUAUAUUCAAUUUGAAGCAGGACAAGGCGAUCUCUAUGUCUGUUCUUUGCUUACAAGCCAAUUUAAAUUUUUUUAUAUUUGUGGAUAAGUUGCACGCAAUUAAAGAGCAAACGCAUAUGGAAAUGGAAACGAUGAAAUUUGCUCUGUGUGCUCCCAAGUUACCAGAAGUUAGCGAAACCAAAUCUUCAAAUGUAGUGCCCGCUUACAGUAUGAUAAAUGUUAAAGAAGACUCCAGUCUUAUGCCAAGUUUGCAAAAAUGUUUGAAGAAAUGGAAGCAGCUGUUUAAAUGCGAUAUUAAUGAAAUUAUCAAGAACUUGGAACCUAAUCUUAUACUGCACAUGCUGAUAACAGCUGGCGAAUAUUCCCGCCUAUAUCGUUAUGAAGAUUGUGAAGCUGAAGCAUGGACAUUGGCGUAUGAAUUAGCGUCAGAGAUCAAUGAUUAUUGUACUAUUAUUUAUGUCACUGGUCGUUGUAUUUCGUUGAGGCAAAUUAAUUAUGAUUGGAUUGCUAUCGCUAAGGAGCUUGCCAUAAAGCACAAAGCUUCUGAGAAUGAAGAUGUAAUUGAUGCCAUUGCUAUCUUCUGGAUAAGCUUAGCGGAUCUCUAUUUUGAAUGUGGAAAGUGUGAUGAUGCUAAGCAAUUACUUAAGGAAGCUAGACGUCUUCCAACAAUUUCAUUUCUCGAUAAUAUAUCUGUAUAUCUUCUAAGCCUAGAUGUUAUUAUACGCCAUCGAAAUUUAUAUAAAAAAGAUAUGGAGCAAGAAAAGUAUAGUUUGUACAUUGUGGAAAGUCUGUUUGCGGUGAGGAGCUUGAAUGAAUCUCUGUUAACGAAAAAAUGCAAGAACCAAGUGAGAUAUCUUUUCAGUUACGAUGUGCUCUUCAACACAACAAUCAAUAUAUCCAUGAAAAUAAACAGUCUGUUAUCUUCUCGUGGGAUCAGUCCGGAUUUAGUGCGACGUUUAAAAUCGGCACAACGUUUAGGUGCAGUGAUGCGCACCGCCGAGCUGCUCAAAGCCCUGUGUUACAUCGAUUUGUCACGUUCGCAAUUGAAUGAUUGCGAGGUGAAGUUGCAAGGCCUUGAACAUAUACUGAACAUGGAAACAUUUCAGUUGUCAAUGAAUUCCAAGCCCAUUCAAACGUUGUCGACUCAUUUGAUAACCCCCACGAAGUUCGUGGAUCCUGUUAGAGAUAUACAAGAGCACAACUCUUCGCCAGUGCUCGCCAAGCAAGUCUUCGGUCUACCGAAAUUCGCGCUGCAUGUAGAUUGCGAUUGCUACAAGUGCGGCAAUAUGUCGUAUCGAUACUUGGUCUUCGCUACCACCUGCAUCAGAGCGCAGUUGUGCGUUUUACAGAAUCAGGACAGCACGGCACUCGAUUACUUCCACGGCGCCUUCAAGAUAAGACAGAAACUGUUCGGAGAGAAAGAGUCGGUUCUGCCAGAGAACUGGCCGCUUGACGAAAUUGGGGUGAAGCGAUUCUCUUGGCAAGCGCGAUUCUACAUCGCCGAUUACGUACAGUUGUUGAUCGACUUUUGUUAUUUCUUGAAGAUGAAUGUAUCGAGACAACAGGAUGCGCUCGAUAUCAUCAGCUUAGCGAUCAAUGUAUGUCGCAAGUAUAAAUUGGAGGGCCAUCCCGUCUACGUGUUUGCCAAAGAAUUCGUGCUUGACACUGAUUUCCAACCGGUACUGGAUUCUUCAAGCUGCUUAAGCUAUAUGGUUCCACAGUCGUGCGACAUUGAUAUAACCAAUUAUCUACAAGUCCCGACUGAUCUGAACGUUUGUGUCACACCGGUUGCUAAAAAUCGUAACGUUAAGAAACCUCUGUCGGUACGGCGUAAAGGAAGUCCCAUAACUUGGAAAACAACUUCGAAAGUUAAUAAGAUAUGGAGUGACGAAGACGACGAUAAUUCAUCACCAUCGUACUCGGCUAGAAAAAUUAAACCGCGCACGAAGUUAGUGAGAAGAAUUUUGGUGAACGACUUAUCGGACGACAUCACUGUGCUGGAAGAUACGAAAUCGAGAAAUCGAACAGGAAAUAGAAAUAGCACGAAAAGGAAAUUGAUGAAGGAUAUUAAAACAUCCCCCAUAGUUUCAGAUCUAACGCAAAAUUUAGAUUUUGAUAAGCUAGAUGUAUCUACCACAACGGAAAAUAUUGAUAAAUUGAUAGAUAAAGUGGACAGUCUCGAAGUCGACUCAAAAACGUCAAAACGAAAAAGCGCUAAAAAUACAAAACAAUUAACAACCAUUGAUUACAACGCGAAUGCAAAUCAAGCUGAGGAGUUAUAUGAUAAAUUGAAUAAUUUAACAAUAAAGGAAAAGACAAGUGAUAAUGCGGACUCUUUUACACUGACAAAAAUUGAAAAAGAUAAUAGCUUACAAAUUCCGAAAAUUUCAGUGAUAAAUUACGAAGAAAAAUCGAAUGAAAUUGCUGAGAAACAAAAUACAGAAAAUGCGAGUAAAUCAUUGGUGAAUGAAACUAAAACUGCACGAAAAUUUUUUAAACAUACAAAAUUAAGUACAAAGUUUGAAGUUUAUAGUACAAGAACGACAAGAUCCAGUGUCAGAAGGAAGAAAGAGGCAGAAUAAAGAUAUUAUGUUGGUGUAAGAGCUGUCUUAUCCAUCAUAAUUUUGUAAAAUGAAGAAUGACAGUGAUAAGUAUUUAUUAUUACUCUUAACAUAAGUAUCACACUGUCCCUAUAAUAUAAUACGUAACAAUAAACUGCGAUGCUACAAAGGAAAUAAGCAUGAAUACAUGCACAUUAUACAACACUGCCAUCUUAUGGGCUAAAAAAAGACAAGACUUUAUUACAAUAUUUUUUUAAAUCGAUUUAAGAUGUGAAAAAUAAUUAUUAUGCAGAAUAAAAAUGAUAAGUAACAUAAUUUGCUUUAAUCUCAUGCGAGACACAUUUCUUCUUCAUGAAAGAAAACAAUUAUCCUGUUACUCUAAGUAUAUACGUAUAUAAGUAUAUAUGUAUAUAAGUAUACAAGUA
rnacentral:misc_RNA from 1 species